rnacentral:rRNA from 1 species
AGAGUUUGAUCAUGGCUCAGAGCGAACGUUAGCGGCGGGCUUAACACAUGCAAGUCGAACGAGAAUGAAGGAGCAAUCCUUCUAGUAAAGUGGCGGACGGGUGCGUAACACGUGGACAAUUUACCUUCCGGCGGGGGACAACAGUUCGAAAGGACUGCUAAUACCGCGUACGUCGGCGGGGACUGCGGUCCCUGUCGAGAAAGAUGGCCUCUCCUUGGAAGCUGUCACCGGAAGAUGAGUCCGCGGCCCAUCAGCUUGUUGGUGAGGUAAUAGCUCACCAAGGCUAAGACGGGUAGCUGGUCUGAGAGGAUGAUCAGCCACACUGGGACUGCGACACGGCCCAGACUCCUACGGGAGGCAGCAGUGGGGAAUAUUGGGCAAUGGGCGAAAGCCUGACCCAGCCACGCCGCGUGAGUGAUGAAGGCCUUCGGGUCGUAAAGCUCUGUGGGGAGGGACGAAUAAGCCGGCCAACCACCGGCCCUGACGGUACCUCCUUAGCAAGCACCGGCUAACCAUGUGCCAGCAGCCGCGGUAAUACAUGGGGUGCAAACGUUGCUCGGAAUUAUUGGGCGUAAAGCGCGCGUAGGCGGUUGCUUAAGUCGGAUGUGAAAGCCCUUGGCUUAACUGAGGAAGUGCAUCCGAGACUGAGUAGCUAGAGUGCGAAAGAGGCGCGGAAUUCCCGGUGUAGAGGUGAAAUUCGUAGAUAUCGGGAGGAACACCGGCGGCGAAGGCGGCGACCUGGUUCGAUACUGACGCUGAGGCGCGAAAGCGUGGGGAGCAAACAGGAUUAGAUACCCUAGUAGUCC